rnacentral:rRNA from 1 species
UACGUAGGGACCAAGCGUUGUUCGGAUUUACUGGGCGUAAAGGGCGCGUAGGCGGCAAUUCAAGUCAGAUGUGAAAUACCCGAGCUUAACUUGGGUGCUGCAUUUGAAACUGGGUGUCUAGAGUGCAGGAGAGGUAAGUGGAAUUCCUAGUGUAGCGGUGAAAUGCGUAGAGAUUAGGAAGAACACCAGUGGCGAAGGCGACUUACUGGACUGUAACUGACGCUGAGGCAUGAAAGCGUGGGGAGCAAACAGG